rnacentral:misc_RNA from 1 species
GAAAUGCGAUAAGUAAUGUGAAUUGCAGAAUUCAGUGAAUCAUCGAAUCUUUGAACGCACAUUGCGCCCCUUGGCAUUCCGAGGGGCAUGCCUGUUCGAGCGUCAUUACAACCCUCAAGCUCUGCUUGGUAUUGGGCGCCGUCCUCUCUGCGGACGCGCCUUAAAGACCUCGGCGGUGGCUGUUCAGCCCUCAAGCGUAGUAGAAUACACCUCGCUUUGGAGCGGUUGGCGUCGCCCGCCGGACGAACCUUCUGAACUUUUCUCAAGGUUGACCUCGGAUCAGGUAGGGAUACCCGCUGAACUUAA